UGAAGUCGCGGUAGAUUCUUCCAUAAUUCCCCACACGUCCGUUGCUCUUCUAGAUCUCUUAAUUUCCUUCGAUUCCUUCCUCCAUGUUCUUCUAAUUCCGAAACAAAUUGCUACUUGAGAGCGAGAUCUAUUGAUUGGAGGGGCUAAUUGGAGAUUAAUCCUUCCCAUAAUUUCAUAUUUUUUCCCUACAUGCGCCUUCUUACCCGCCGGAGACGCUUGAGCGCCCGGCUGGUGAUUGGAAAUCUUCACCCUAGCUUCUCAACAGAUUGCUGAUCUCUAACUCUAAUUACAUCCAAUAUUGCCCUCUCCCUUCUCUCUCCCUUUCUUUCCUCUGUCAUUCACGAGCCUACCCCCGCGUCGUCCCCCGGCCACCCUCCCCCAAGAACGUCAUAUCCCAUGCGCCCGGCCUUGUUUAUCACACUCCCUCAAUCUCUCCCUUCCACCGGCAGCUUUCCCAGCAACCUUUUCCUUCCUGUCGCCGUCAUCGGUCCCCAUCGUCGCGACCGCCGCCUCCACCGGGAAGGCUGAACCUCGGUAAAAAGUUGGCUCAUUGUUCGCUGCCACAGCUAUCAUCCUCCAAGUGAUUUUUGCGGCCUUUCUCAUUUAUGAGUGUUGGCCGCUGAAGAAGAUGGGAGAAGGCAUAAAACGAGAGUCUUUUCUUGAUUGUGGGCUGUAACGGUGAUUCCGAGAUGUCUUUUUGUGGCUUGAAAUGAGAUCCUAUUCGACUACAAGGUGGAGAGGGUCAAGAUUGCAGGUAUAAAAUGCUAUUUCCUUGAUUUCAAAUGGAAGCUGUGGCAUAUUUGGAUUGCUGGUUAGUCGCCAUGCUGAAUUUGAAAGUUGUCCUUCUCAAGUUUGGCAGCAGAGGAUGGAGCUUCUCCAAUGUUCAAUGUAAAAGUAGAAAAUAUUACUGGCGCAACAUCUACAUUCAAGACGAUGAGCAGAUGGGGCACUUGCUUCUUAUCAUUGAUGAAUUUGUAGUUACUCCCACCAAGUAGUUGCCUCGUGAUUUAGCUUUUAGGCAAACAACAUUAUCUCUUUGUUAUUCGGCAUUUCCAUGUACUCAAAUAAGUUUUCUUGUUAUUGGGCAUUGAAAUGAUGUGUGUCAAAUUUCAAAUUGAAUUCCAAUUGGUGAUGAUGACUAGGGUUUGGUUUGCACAUUGGGUAUGUCGUGUAUCCUUAAAGGCCCAAAGUGGGUCUCCACUUUGGGGUCUAAAUCAGACUCAGAAAGGUCAGGCCUCAGUUGCAGUGGCUUAAAGAAUAUGACCUAGAACUUCAAUAAUUUUCAUUUCUUCUUGCAUGCAGGGGCCAUUGUUGAUCUUGGAGCUUCCUUAGUGAAACUUGGUUGGAGUUUUACUAAAGGAUAGUAGUCUCACAAGGUAGUUGGUUAGUAAUAGUUUCUUCAAUCACAACAACAAGGAUCUUCUACAUGAUUAAAGAAAGGAAAUUGAAUUUUGUUGUGUUGGAUGCUUGAUGGGCCUUUACACUGAGAUCUAAGCUUAUGUUUUGAUAAUCAUAUCUGCCUUUGUCGCCUAUCAUGCUGGAGCUCCAAGCUCUAAUGCUAACCUGACGCAACAAAGUUGUAAAUUAAGGAAGAUGAUGCAUUGAAGAAGCAUAAACCUUAGCGAAGUGGCAAAAACUUGGAAGAGAUGUUUAUUCCCUUCUUGGAACAAAAACUAAGUUACAAACCCUUUGCAUACCAUAGUAGCAAUAUUUCUAAGCUAAGACAAAACAAGAAUUCUCUUAGUAAAAUAAAAAGGGCUAAACAUGAUUAGCAUAACCCAAAAAGGAAUGGCAAAGCAAUUUGUGUGAGUUGUGGAGUUGAGUUGUGGGUGCUGCUAUAUGUUCUGGGGAGUUGAUUUGACAAUCGUAUCAAUCACCCAUCUUAGGAGUGUUCUAGCAUGAGUCUGCUUGCUUUGGUGUCCCUAAAGUAACUUUAACUAUUGCAUCAAAUUUCGUCUCAUUAUUUAACAAUUCAACUUUGCUAUGCUUAAGGGUUCUUACAAAUUGGAGAGCAUUUAGUGGAUUCAAAAUGUUGGGAAAUUUGUUUGUAUAUCAUCAAAAUAUUUCUUAUUUACAAAACUAACACCUAAGCUUUUAAAAUGAAUCGUUGAGCUUCUGUAUUUUUUGCAUGAUGCUAACAUAUCAUUAAGAAUUUAACAAAUUUUUUGUCAAUAAAAUUUGAUAGUUUUAUUGUGCCCUUCAAGAUUUAGGCAAUAUUAUUAUAAUUAGAAGAACUACGUGUUUGGUGUUAAAUAAGAAAUUGUCCAAUUUUUUUUUUAUUUAGUUCACAUUAGCUUCGCAUUAGAAUCUAUAGGAAAAAUUCAGUCGUUUUGACUUUUGUCUUGGGGCAUAUAGGGGAAGAGGGGAACUAUGCUAUAUUGUUAUUUGUCUCUCUUUUAACUAAGCAAUAUUAUUAUGUUUUUCUCUUUUCUUUCCAUUUAGUUUUACUUAGUUGAAUUUAGCUUGGCUCGUCUUUUUUUCAUUUUAUUAUUGAUCCAUAGUAUUUGGGAGAAUUGAUGAUGAUAAUUGAUUUAUAAUUACUAGCUUAUUUUAGCCUAGGAAAAGAUCUAGGAGAAUGCAAUCCAUAACAAGCUAUUAUUGAAAGACAAAAAAUCCUACAUUAAUGGUUACAAUUGUGGAUUACGGGUGAAACUUGGGUGUUUGUAAUCAAUUUCCAGAGCUAUUGACAACAAUAUGAUAGGAAACACUUGGAUUCACAAGUGUUCCUAGCCAAAAUCAGUAAACUGCAGCAGAUUUUUUGCUGUCCACAGCAGGAAACAACCCAAAAACAGAGAAAAACAGGAGUUUUACACGAGAAAUCUGAGAAAAAAC